GAUGAAGAACGCAGCGAAUUGCGAUAUGUAAUGUGAAUUGCAGAUUUUCAGUGAAUCAUCGAAUCUUUGAACGCACCUUGCGCUCCUUGGUAUUCCGAGGAGCAUGCCUGUUUGAGUGUCAUUAAUAUAUCAACCUUCUCUUUUUUGAGUUGUUUGGAUGUGGGGGUUUGCUGGCCUCUUAAAUGAUUCAGCUCCCCUGAAAUGCAUUAGCAGAACAACCUGUUCAUUGGCGUGAUAAUUAUCUAUGCUAUUGAAUGUGAGGGCAGUUCAGCUUUCUAACCGUCCUUGGACAAUUCAUCAUUAAUGUGACCUCAAAUCAGGUAGGACUACCCGCUGAACUUAAGCAUAUCAAUAAGCGGAGGA
rnacentral:misc_RNA from 1 species